rnacentral:rRNA from 1 species
AGUGAGAACCUUGCCCGCCGAAAGACCAAGGGUUCCUGGGCCAGGCCAGUCCGCCCAGGGUGAGUCGGGACCUAAGGCGAGGCCGACAGGCGUAGUCGAUGGACAACGGGUUGAUAUUCCCGUACCCGUGUGUGGGCGCCCGUGACGAAUCAGCGGUACUAACCACCCAAAACCGGAUCGAUCACUCCCCUUCGGGGGUGUGGAGUUCUGGGGCUGCGUGGGAACUUCGCUGGUAGUAGUCAAGCGAAGGGGUGACGCAGGAAGGUAGCCGUACCAGUCAGUGGUAACACUGGGGCAAGCCGGUAGGGAGAGCGAUAGGCAAAUCCGUCGCUCACUAAUCCUGAGAGGUGACGCAUAGCCGGUUGAGGCGAAUUCGGUGAUCCUCUGCUGCCAAGAAAAGCCUCUAGCGAGCACACACACGGCCCGUACCCCAAACCGACACAGGUGGUCAGGUAGAGCAUACCAAGGCGUACGAGAUAACUAUGGUUAAGGAACUCGGCAAAAUGCCCCCGUAACUUCGGGAGAAGGGGGACCGGAAUAUCGUGAACACCCUUGCGGUGGGAGCGGGAUCCGGUCGCAGAAACCAGUGAGGAGCGACUGUUUACUAAAAACACAGGUCCGUGCGAAGUCGCAAGACGAUGUAUACGGACUGACGCCUGCCCGGUGCUGGAAGGUUAAGAGGACCCGUUAACCCGCAAGGGUGAAGCGGAGAAUUUAAGCCCCAGUAAACGGCGGUGGUAACUAUAACCAUCCUAAGGUAGCGAAAUUCCUUGUCGGGUAAGUUCCGACCUGCACGAAUGGCGUAACGACUUCUCAACUGUCUCAACCAUAGACUCGGCGAAAUUGCACUACGAGUAAAGAUGCUCGUUACGCGCGGCAGGACGAAAAGACCCCGGGACCUUCACUACAACUUGGUAUUGAUGUUCGGUACGGUUUGUGUAGGAUAGGUGGGAGACUGUGAAACCUCGACGCCAGUUGGGGCGGAGUCGUUGUUGAAAUACCACUCUGAUCGUAUUGGGCAUCUAACCUCGAACCCUGAAUCGGGUUUAGGGACAGUGCCUGGCGGGUAGUUUAACUGGGGCGGUUGCCUCCUAAAAUGUAAC